CCAAAGCUCCCACGAGUUCGAGCAAGAAUUGCCAAAGACCAUCCCGUCGAGCAAAUCUACAAUGAUAUCCAAACCGGGAGAAUCACUCGCUCUAAAACUCGUUUGGCUAACUUUUGUGAAAAUUACUCAUUCAUUUCUAGCAUUGAACCUAUGAAGGUUGAAGAAGCAUUGGAAGAUCCGGAUUGGAUAAACGCUAUGCAUGAAGAGCUACACAACUUUGAGAGAAAUCAAGCGUGGACAUUGGUCGAGAAGCCCGACAACAAUCACAACAUCAUUGGUACCAAAUGGGUGUUUCGCAACAAGCAAGAUGAAGAUGGUCAAGUCGUCUGCAACAAAGCACGCUUAGUCGCCCAAGGCUACACUCAAGUCGAAGUGAGAAGUUUGGAAAGCUAA
rnacentral:rRNA from 1 species